GUGUCAGCCGCCGCGGUAAUACGGAGGGUGCAAGCGUUAUCCGGAUUUACUGGGUUUAAAGGGUGCGUAGGUGGGUCUGUAAGUCAGUGGUGAAAUCUCCGGGCUUAACCCGGAAAUUGCCAUUGAUACUAUAGGUCUUGAAUCAUCUGGAGGUAAGCGGAAUAUGUCAUGUAGCGGUGAAAUGCUUAGAUAUGACAUAGAACACCAAUUGCGAAGGCAGCUUACUACGGAUGCAUUGACACUGAGGCACGAAAGCGUGGGGAUCAAACAGGAUUAGAAACCCCUGUAGUCC
rnacentral:rRNA from 1 species